rnacentral:rRNA from 1 species
CAGGGGGUGCAAGCGUUGCUCGGAAUCACUGGGCGUAAAGCGUACGCAGGCGGACCGUUAAGUCGGGUGUGAAAGCCCGGGGCCCAACCCCGGAACUGCAUUCGAUACUGGCGGUCUUGAAUACGGGAGAGGUGAGUGGAAUUCCUGGUGUAGAGGUGAAAUUCGUAGAUAUCAGGAGGAACACCGGUGGCGAAAGCGGCUCACUGGCCCGAUAUUGACGCUCAUGUACGAAAGCGCGGGGAGCAAACAGGAUUAGAUACCCUGGUAGUCCACGCUGUAAACGAUGAGUGCUAGCUGCUGGAGAUCCUUUUAUUUCUUCGGUGGCGUAGCCAACGCGUUAAGCACUCCGCCUGGGAAGUACGGCCGCAAGGCUA